AUGAAUGUUCAAACAAAAAGAUCAAUUCUUGUUCCAAUGAAUGUUAAUGUUAUCUCCAAGCAUUUAAAGUUGGUUGGUAUGAAGAGACAUGUUCUACAUUCAAAUUCUAAACUUGUCUUUGUUAGCAAGAGAAGAGUGCCAAAUGGACCUGAUCCAAUACAUAACAGGAGAGCAGCAAAGUAUAGACAACCACCUAAUCAAGCAUGA